GGUUCUUGGGCGGGGUUCCUAGAGAGACAGCGUGUCGCGAGCCAAAGGCUCUCACCUGGGUGGUCUGGGGAGUCUUGCCACGUGGGAGGGGAGGAGCAGAGACGCCACUGGAGGACGCGCUGACUGGGGGACCGGAAGCCAAGUGGGUGGGGUUCCGCUAGGGUCCGCGUGUCAGUCCCCUCUGGUAAUUUCGUUGUCCGUUCUCUGCCAGGCAACAUGUCGGAAGGAAACGCCGCCGGCGAGCCCAGCACUCCGGGAGGGCCCCGACCCCUCCUGACCGGGGCCCGGGGGCUCAUCGGGCGGCGGCCGGCGCCCCCCCUCACCCCCGGCCGCCUUCCCUCCAUCCGUUCCAGGGACCUCACCCUCGGGGGAGUCAAGAAGAAAACCUUCACCCCAAAUAUCAUCAGUCGGAAGAUCAAGGAAGAGCCCAAGGAAGAAGUAACUGUCAAGAAGGAGAAGCGUGAGAGGGACAGAGACCGACAGCGAGAGGGGCAUGGACGAGGACGAGGCCGCCCAGAAGUGAUCCAGUCCCACUCCAUCUUUGAGCAGGGCCCAGCCGAAAUGAUGAAGAAAAAAGGAAACUGGGAUAAGACAGUGGAUGUGUCAGACAUGGGACCUUCUCAUAUCAUCAACAUCAAAAAAGAGAAGAGAGAGACAGACGAAGAAACGAAACAGAUCUUGCGCAUGCUGGAGAAGGACGAUUUCCUCGAUGACCCAGGGCUGAGGAACGACACUCGAAAUAUGCCUGUGCAGCUGCCGCUGGCUCACUCGGGAUGGCUUUUUAAGGAAGAAAAUGACGAACCAGAUGUUAAACCAUGGCUGACUGGCCCCAAGGAAGAGGACAUGGAGGUGGACAUACCUGCUGUGAAAGUGAAAGAGGAGCCUCGAGAUGAGGAGGAGGAGGCCAAGAUGAAGGCUCCUCCCAAAGCAGCCAGGAAGACCCCGGGCCUCCCGAAGGACAUAUCCGUGGCAGAGCUGCUCAGGGAGCUGAGCCUGACCAAGGAGGAGGAACUGCUGUUUCUCCAGCUGCCAGACACCCUCCCUGGCCAACCGCCCACCCAGGACAUCAAGCCCAUUAAGACAGAGGUACAGGGUGAGGAUGGCCAGAUGGUACUCAUCAAGCAGGAGAAGGACCGGGAAGCCAGACUGGCAGAGAAUGCUUGUACCCUGGCUGACCUGACAGAGGGUCAGGUUGGCAAGCUACUCAUCCGCAAGUCUGGAAGGGUGCAACUCCUCCUGGGCAAGGUGACUCUGGACGUGACCAUGGGAACCGCCUGCUCCUUCCUGCAGGAGCUGGUGUCCGUGGGCCUUGGAGACAGUAGGACAGGGGAGAUGACAGUCCUGGGACACGUGAAGCACAAACUUGUAUGUUCCCCUGAUUUUGAGUCUCUCUUGGAUCACAAACACCGGUAAAAUGAGCAGAUGGAGGAGGACGGCGCCUGUGCCCACGGCUGCUGCCUGCUCCAGACAUUUUGUUCUUGAAUCUGUGAGACCCAAAAGGGGCCCACUGAGCCUACCCACUCCAGCCUUUGGCAGCCAUUGUCCCAGAUUCCCCUGGGCUUCCUCCCACAGCAGCUGUCAAUGGCACAGUGACCUUCCUGCAGCAUGGAGUUGGCAUAUCUUUGCUGCUGGGGAUUUGGCCCUGCUAUUUAUUUUUAUAUUUAUGUCUUAAUCUCUUCCACUGAUGCAUCCUACCAAGGUAGGUGGGGAGGGUCUGUGGGAAGGGGCUGGCCUCUCCUGGGGGCUGUUGGGCUGCAGGGACAGAAGUGUCAGAACUGCAGCUUCUGCUGAUGCUCCGUCCCUCCUAGAAGCAACAUAAGAGAGGAAGCAAGGAUUGAGUCUGAGACUUAAGCACUUGGUCCCAGCUUGCCAGUUCCUGGUUCUGCGUCCUUGAACAAACUACCUAACCUUUCUGAGCCUCCUGUUCAUCAUCCGACACAAGCAUGAGCAGGUUCUCCCUUUCUGACUGUAAGAUACAUGAGCUGGUACAGAUGGUGGAUUCUCU